AGUAACGAAUUGGCACUGAGAGAGGCCAAUAAGUGAAGGGUACGGUGUGAAGGAGGGAGGGAAGUUCUUUGAUCGAUGUCCAUUGUAGCCAAUAAAUAUGUGGGGCCGCUCCCAUUCGUUAAAACGUCUUCCCCUGGGCGGAGAUCAGUUCUCCCUGCAGGAGCGGUUGCUCCACAAGGUGGGGCCCGUGUACUUUGGGGAAGUAAACCCCAAGCAACUAGGAGGUGGGCGCCAGGAUGGCCAAGGAAGCCCCCGGCCAAUCGCAGCGCGGGAAGGAGCUGAUUGACGCGGGGGUUGGACAGCACCAAGGAGACCGAUCCCCGGGUCUCCGUGCCCUCUGGGGCGGUUCUGAGGUUCUAUUGGUCCCUACUUCUGUCUCCUGUUUCCUUUCCUUUCUUCACUCCUUGGGUGCGAUCCCUGAGACCCCUGAUCCCACGUUUUCCGCACAGUUUGAUACCAGGGGAACCAGGCAUGUGACCCUGCAGCAGGGGCUCGCGUUAAGUUUUGCAAAUUUGGAAAUGAAGCAUGUGGAGCCUCUCCAUUGGAGACAAGGGGGCGCGGACAGCAGCCGGUGAAGUCGGAGGUGCGGCCCCAGGAGCCAAGCAGGAGCAUCCCUUUGGCCCCCUAAGCCCCAUCCAGCAACGACUUGGCUCAUUCAGCAUUUAUUGGGCACCAGGGUCUGGGAUCAGAGACGAUCGAGACGCUGUCCCUGCUGGCUGUCAUCCAUUCAACAAGCCCGGACGCCGCGCCGAGAGCUCCCCAAACUGGGGAACCGGUGUGUGGGGCUGUGGAGGCACCUGAGGGAACUCGGCUCAGGCAGAAGCUGCUAAAGGUUUUCUGGAGUAAGGAACCUACAGGAUCGUGUUAACCUUGCUAAGAAACUUGAGCUUUAUUCUGAGAGCGGUGGAGAGCCCCCGAAAGGUUUCUUAAAAGGGUGGACUAAGACUUUUGCAUUUUACAAGACAACUUUCCAAAUUGAAAAGCUAAUGAGAGCUGGUUAGCAACCCUUGAAAUUCACAGAUUGGUAAUUUAACCCAGUUGGCCUGAGAUCGGGGGUCCAGGCUAUUCUUGAUCACAUUUGGAGCGAAUUUUAAGUGAUACAGACAGUUCUUUUUGUAGGACUUUUGGCAGUCUGUUAAAAUUGUGUUUAUUUCCCUUCUUGCUUGAAAGCCAUGUGGCUUUACCAAGAGGCAUGUACUUGGUGUUCAUUACAGCACUGUCCACUUUGUUAUGAUAUUUAAAAACUGAAAACAUAACUACUCAUGAAUUUGCAAACUGACUAGCCAGUAAUA